UUGACCUCAAAUCGGGUGAGACUACCCGCUGAACUUAAGCAUAUCAAUAAGCGGAGGAAAAGAAACUAACAAGGAUUCCCCUAGUAACUGCGAGUGAAGCGGGAAAAGCUCAAAUUUAAAAUCUGGUGGCCUCUGGUCAUCCGAGUUGUAAUUUAGAGAAGCGUCUUCCGCGCUGGACCAUGCACAAGUCUCCUGGAAUGGAGCGUCAUAGAGGGUGAGAAUCCCGUCUUUGGCAUGGAUGCACCAGGGCUUCUGUGAUGCGCUCUCAAAGAGUCGAGUUGUUUGGGAAUGCAGCUCAAAAUGGGUGGUGAACUCCAUCUAAAGCUAAAUAUUGGCGAGAGACCGAUAGCGAACAAGUACCGUGAGGGAAAGAUGAAAAGCACUUUGGAAAGAGAGUGAAACAGUACGUGAAAUUGUUGAAAGGGAAACGCUUGAAGUCAGUCGCGUCGACCGAGACUCAGCCUCGCCUUGGCUUGGUGUACUUCUCGGCUGACGGGUCAGUGUCAAUUUUGGGCCUCGGAUAAUGACAAGGGAAAGGUGGCACCUUUAUAGGUGUGUUAUAGUCUCCUGUCGGAUGCGAGGGUCGGGAUUGAGGAACUCAGCACGCGCCUUUUGGUGUCGGGGCUUCGGCCUACGCUACGUGCUUAGGAUGCUGGCAUAAUGGCUUUAAACGACCCGUCUUGAAACACGGACCAAGGAGUCUAACAUGCCCGCGAGUGUUCGGGUGGAAAACCCGUGCGCGUAAUGAAAGUAAAAGUUGGGACCUCUGUCGUGGAGAGCACCGACGCCCGGACCAGACCUUCUGUGACGGAUCUGCGGUAGAGCGUGCAUGUUGGGACCCGAAAGAUGGUGAACUAUGCCUGAAUAGGGUGAAGCCAGAGGAAACUCUGGUGGAGGCUCGUAGCGAUUCUGACGUGCAAAUCGAUCGUCAAAUUUGGGUAUAGGGGCGAAAGACUAAUCGAACCAUCUAGUAGCUGGUUCCUGC
rnacentral:rRNA from 3 species